GUAUAUCAAUACCCAGAAACAAUAAAGGGCACAUUAUAAAUAUGGAUACAAAACAGUAAGUUAAAGUUUUACUUGAAGUAGAAAAGUUUAAACUGUUUUAUCAAUGAAGACAAACCAAAAAUGUGUUCAUUGUAAAUAUCAUUGCAUGUAACAUAAAAAUAUAAAACCUUAAAAUCUUCUGCUUUAAAGUCUUAAAUAACUACAGGUAACUAAAUAUGUUCAGGAGGCUUUGGGCAGAAAAAUCAACUACUUAGGGUCAGCUCGAAAAAUCAAAUAAUUCCUUGUGCUACAUUUUUUUUUUUUUUAAUGUAUUGUGGGUUGCUUGUAAAGGUGUUAACUCACCCAGUUUAUUGUGUAAGGUAAAAGGAAAAUACUAUGAUUUAUACUUGCUACAUUCCAGAGUCUUUGGAGAAUUUACCUUUGAAGGAGACUUUCUAAAAUAGGAAAAUCUGUUUUAAAAUAGAGGCACAAAGUCCUUGAAAUAGUUUUGUCACUCCCUCAAAACAGAUGUAUAUUUGAAAUCUGUUCAUAAUAUGUG
rnacentral:lncRNA from 1 species